UACAGUGAAAAGAGCACUCACUCCGGAAUGCACACGAACCACUCAAUAGCAAAUACCACUAUGCUUGUAAACACAACACUGAAAAAUGCAAAUAAGGUGUCUGCAAGCCAGGAAUAUUGGGACUACAGAGUUUUACGACUUUCUGGCGGCUUGAGUGAACCAGGUCAAGUGAACUGGGACCUAGCAUUGUGUCUGUUGUUGGCUUGGAUCAUUUGUUACUUAUGUGUGUGUAAAGGAGUCAAAUCCAGCGGAAAGGUUGUGUACUUCACUGCUACAGCUCCUUAUCUGCUAUUGACCGCCAUUCUGAUUCGUGGAGUGACAUUGCCGGGAGCCAUUGAUGGAAUCAAGUUUUAUCUUACUCCUGAUCUGUCAAGACUUUCAGAUGGCCAGGUCUGGAUCGACGCCGCGACUCAAGUGUUUUUCUCAUACUCCCUUGGUAUGGGGACCAUGACAGCGCUUGGAAGCUACAACAAAUUUAAGAACAACUUUUACAGGGAUUCCAUAAUAUUUACAUGCUGCAAUAGUGGAACAAGUUUCUAUGGCGGAUUUCUGAUCUUCUCUGUGCUGGGAUUUAUGGCAAAAAAUCAAGGAGUGGAAGUGAAGGACGUCGCUAAGUCAGGUCCAGGACUUGCCUUCAUCGUUUAUCCAGAAGCGGUUGCUCAGAUGCCUUUAGCUCCGUUAUGGUCUGCUUUGUUUUUCUUCAUGUUAAUCUUGCUUGGUCUUGACAGUGAGUUUGUAGGUAUCGAGGGUGUCGUCACAGGCGUCGUUGAUUUGUUUCCGCAACAUCUGAGGCGUGGCCAUCGCAAGGAACUGUUUACCGCCUUUAUCUGUUGCAUUUGGUUUCUACUCGGUUUGUCCAUGGUCACUGAGGGUGGUAUGUACGUGUUCCAAUUGUUUGACGCAUACUCUGGCAGCGGAUCAGUUCUGUUGUUGGUGGUCAUCUGCGAAUGUGUUGCCAUAGGAUGGUUUUAUGGACGUCAUCGUUUCUAUGACAACUUUGAAAGCAUGCUGGGAUUUCGAAUCAAUCCAUGGAUUGGCUGGUGCUGGUGUUUUCUCGCGCCCAUUUUUUGUUCGUUUAUUUUCGUCUUUAACCUUGUGACGUAUUCACCACUCAAAUUCGGCGACUACGUGUACCCAGGCUGGGGGCAGGCGAUUGGUUGGCUGCUGAUGGUAUCCUCGUUAAUUCUUAUUCCCGCGGUGAUGAUAUACAANUCUGUUGUUGGCUUGGAUCAUUUGUUACUUAUGUGUGUGUAAAGGAGUCAAAUCCAGCGGAAAGGUUGUGUACUUCACUGCUACAGCUCCUUAUCUGCUAUUGACCGCCAGUCUGAUUCGUGGAGUGACAUUGCCGGGAGCCAUUGAUGGAAUCAAGUUUUAUCUUACUCCUGAUCUGUCAAGACUUUCAGAUGGCCAGGUCUGGAUCGACGCCGCGACUCAAGUGUUUUUCUCAUACUCCCUUGGUAUGGGGACCAUGACAGCGCUUGGAAGCUACAACAAAUUUAAGAACAACUUUUACAGGGAUUCCAUAAUAUUUACAUGCUGCAAUAGUGGAACAAGUUUCUAUGGCGGAUUUCUGAUCUUCUCAGUGCUGGGAUUUAUGGCAAAAAAUCAAGGAGUGAAAGUGAAGGAUGUCGCUAAGUCAGGUCCAGGACUUGCCUUCAUCGUUUAUCCAGAGGCGGUUGCUCAGAUGCCUUUAGCUCCGUUAUGGUCUGCUUUGUUUUUCUUCAUGUUAAUCUUGCUCGGUCUUGACAGUGAGUUUGUAGGUAUCGAGGGCGUUGUUACAGGCGUCGUUGAUUUGUUUCCGCAACAUCUGAGGCGUGGCCAUCGCAAGGAAAUGUUUACCGCCUUUAUCUGUUGCGUCUGGUUUCUACUCGGUUUGUCCAUGGUUACUGAGGGUGGUAUGUACGUGUUCCAAUUGUUUGACGCAUACUCUGGCAGCGGAUCAGUUCUGUUGUUGGUGGUCAUCUGCGAAUGUGUUGCCAUAGGAUGGUUUUAUGGACGUCAUCGUUUCUAUGACAACUUUGAAAGCAUGCUGGGAUUUCGAAUCAAUCCAUGGAUUGGCUGGUGCUGGUGUUUUCUCGCGCCCAUUUUUUGUUCGUUUAUUUUCGUCUUUAACCUUGUGACGUAUUCACCACUCAAAUUCGGCGACUACGUGUACCCAGGCUGGGGGCAGGCGAUUGGUUGGCUGCUGAUGGUAUCCUCGUUAAUUCUUAUUCCCGCGGUGAUGAUAUACAAGCUGUUCAAGACUACUGGAACUAUCAAAGAGCGUUUGGACAAGUUACUUGUACCUGACAUCGAGGUGAAAGACAGAGAUAUAAAUGGGCUGGGCAGUGAGCCAAAGAAGGCAGGAACAAAUGAAAAAGCUGAAUUAAUUACAAGUUCGGUGUAAACCGAGCCGAAUAAGAAUUCAUGUGUUAUUAAUCUAAUUUAUGGGAAUUUUACGUAAAUUUUCAUUCAUUAUUUUCUAGUUUGAUAGUUGUUUGUAGUUGCCAUACAUAAAAAAGAGUAGAGAAUUAUCGGAAAUUGUUGUAUGUAAGCUUUGUUAACCCUGGGUGGUA